rnacentral:tRNA from 1 species
GGGGGUGUGGCAGAGUGGCCUAUCGCGCCGGCUUUGAACACCGGAGUGCGGCUAAUACCCGCACCGUGGGUUCGACUCCCACCGCCCCCGCCA